UACAGAGGGUGCGAGCGUUGUCCGGAAUCACUGGGCGUAAAGGGCGCGUAGGCGGCCCGCCGCGUCCGGGGUGAAAUCCUCCCGCUCAACGGGAGAACGGCCUCGGAUACGGGCGGGCUGGAGGGGGGUAGGGGCAGGCGGAACUGUGGGUGGAGCGGUGAAAUGCGUUGAGAUCCACAGGAACUCCGGUGGCGAAGGCGGCCUGCUGGACCCCAUCUGACGCUGAGGCGCGAAAGCCAGGGGAGCGAACGGG
rnacentral:rRNA from 1 species